CAAACCAAUGAUGAGAAUACGUCAUGAGCCAAAGGUAUGAUUAAUCCAAUUCUGAGUUCCCAAAGUCCCUGAAAAGUAUGUG
rnacentral:snoRNA from 1 species